rnacentral:rRNA from 1 species
UACGAAGGGGGCUAGCGUUGCUCGGAAUCACUGGGCGUAAAGCGCACGUAGGCGGAUUGUUAAGUCAGGGUGAAAUCCUGGAGCUCAACUCCAGAACUGCCUUUGAUACUGGCGAUCUCGAGUCCGGGAGAGGUGAGUGGAACUGCGAGUGUAGAGGUGAAAUUCGUAGAUAUUCGCAAGAACACCAGUGGCGAAGGCGGCUCACUGGCCCGGUACUGACGCUGAGGUGCGAAAGCGUGGGAGCAAACAGG